GAAUUUGUAAAAUUUGUUGAUUCCGAAACAAUUAAUCGCGAAAUUUUAAAACAUUUUUUUUCAUCCCGAAGUAUAACCAGUUUCGUGAAAUCUAUCAAAUUUAACAAUUUAAACGAGGACUCCAUAAACACCAUUUCACGAAGUCCGGUAUAGCAGAAUUUAAUUCCGUUUGAGCUUUUAAACUCGUCAAAUCUGACCCAACCAAUAAACACGUAUGAAAUAUUUUAAGAAAUUGAGUUUGUAAUUAAUGAAAUUUGACAAAGGAAUAUAAUAACAUCAUUACAGAAUGUUUGCAUAUGCAUAAUUAUACAUUAAACCCCAAAAAUAUAUAUACAUCACAAAAAUAUAUUAUGUAUGAUUAAAAUAGCCAAGUACUUGUAUGAUAUUUAUUUUGCUAAAUAACCAAAUACAUGAAUGAAUGAUAUAUGUUUUAAAUACUAAAUUACUUAUACAUGUGGGUAUAUAUCCCUUAUAAAAAUCUACAAUAUUUGUUGUGUACUUACAAAAUCCUACAAAGAUCACAAGUAUUAUAUUCGAUCACUCCCUCUCACACGUUCUAUCUCUCUACACAUAUCUCUCACAAAUAUUAUAUCUCCCAAAACAAUGGCACAUGUAUGAAAUCCACUAAGAUACUGCAAGAGUACUCUCCAAAUUCUAUAUUUGAUCAUAUUGUACCAGAAGUCUCCCAAAAAUCUGCUUGAUAUCAUGAAGUUAUAGAUAGAAAUCGUUCCCAUCUCCCCCCUUCACCUGUCGAAUCCCAGAUGUAAAACACCCCCUUGAUCAACCAUUGCAGCCACCUCCUUCGAUUGCUGCCAAGAACAACCAAGAGGGCAGUAGCCCGUUUCUUCUUCGUGUUUCCUUUUCCUUCCAAACAAUCAAACCAAACAUCUUUUCCUAUAUCAAUUUCUGUCAAAAGAAAACCCAAAUAUCCAAUUUCCAAUGAUUUCUAUCAAAAAAAAGAAGAAGAAAUAGGAAGAAGAAGAUCAGAGGAGCUGCCGGAGCAACCCCCGUGCACGUACCUUUCAACCACCGAGAGCAAAACCCACCGAAUGGGUGUUUCCCCGGAGCAAACACGGGAGUCGACCGCCCCCUCUGAUCCCUCGACCCCCUUUCCUACCGCUACGACGCUGCUGCCUACCCCGUCACGUUCUUCCCUUCGGCCCGUCGAACCCAGCAGACCACAUCGGUUUACGAAGCCAAUCGACGAAACCCUUUCUGGCCUCCUUCCUUUCGCAANNNN
rnacentral:lncRNA from 1 species